UUUUGCAUCUGCCCAGGCAGGUCUCCCUCCAGGGGCACUCUGCCCCCACUUCCCAGGGUGAAGACCCUUGCCUCUCUCCCUUCUCAGCUGCUUCUUCUAUCCUUUCAGACAUCCCCUUGGCAGAAGGCCCCUGACUGUGCCUGCCCAGCUUGCAGCCCUUUGAACUUCUCAAGCUCCCAGAAGUUUCCAUGGGAGAGGAUCAAACUCUGUGACAAAGCCAGUCCUGAUGAUGCCCAGCUGUGGCGGUCCUGAGCCGUCUCUCCUGUGGGGGUAGACGUCUCACUGAUGCAGCUGACUGUGAGUGUCCGUACUCUGUAAGUAACAACAACAGCAGCAGCAAUGCACAGGCUCUCUAAGCUAGACCUGGGUAGUAUAUUUUUUUCAUCUGUCUUGAGUUCUGAUCUGGGAUAACUGGACACUUGUUCACAUCUCUUGGGCAAAAGUCACACGAUACAUGGACAAGAGAAGCUGGGCUGACACCCCAGCACUGGGAGCUGAGGUUGCCCUGUCCGCCAGCCAUCCCGAAGAGAUGGCACAGCCUCAUCCUGUGCCCUGUCUCAGUGCAGGGAUUGCACUAAUGCAGGCUGGUCAGAUUGCAGAUUGGGGAAACCACCACUGAGAAGCAGGCUUGUUACAGCCUCUCCCCCAUGCCACACAGGGCCACCUGGGGAAGCCCCAGGGCUGAUCAGCAAGCAGAAGAAGCAAGGUACCAACAGACUGUUGAAGCAAGGAUCCCAGGGGACUGGAAUGGCUCAGAACUCAUUCUAUAAGAAAAGAAAGCCUAAAGCUUGGGCCAGACAGAAGCGAAACUUCUGGAAAGAGAUUUCCAAUUUGCCUGACCACUUUACAGGAGAUGCAACAAGGGGUCUGGGUGGGUGAGACUGUGGCCUAGCAGGACUGCCCUGGCCUCUGCCUUGACUCCACCUUAGGUCAGGAGCAGCAAGAUGGACGUCACUGAAUCCCUCUGCAGACUCCAUCCACUCUGGUGAUUCCUGCCCUGAUCACUUCCCAGGCCUCAGCUGGACCUUGUCACUUUCCUUCCCACCAGCCUCUGCGCCGCCCUGCCCUGCAGGCACUCGGUGCCUUCCCUUCCCCCAGCCCAGCCAGCCUCUGUGGACCACACCUCCCUCCUGGAACUGUUCAAGGGCAGCUAAUGUGAGGCCACACAACAGGGGCGGGACCUGCAGGGCUAAGGUCUUCAGUGUCCUAUCUGGGCACACUUGCUCACUUUGUCUCCUGGGCAAAAGUCACACAAUGCAUGGAGAAGAGAAGCUGGGCUGACAGCCCAACACUGUGAUCUAAGGUUGCCCUGUCCUCCAGGCACCUGAAGAGACAGCACAGCCCCGUCCUGUGCCCUGUCUCACAGUGCAGACACCACCAUGAUGGAAGCUGGUAGGGCCUUCUCUGCUUCUCAUUAUGAAUUUAGCUUUUUAAAGUGUCUUCUCAAGGACAGGAGUCCAAAUCUGUCUUGUUGGGGCACAGGCUGUGACUCUAAAUCCAGCAGUGUAAUGGCUAAUGGUGAUUAUCAUCAUUUAGAAUCACCAUGGAAACAGACCUCUAGGCAUCUUUCGAAGGAGUUCCUAGACUGGGUUGAUUGAGGUGGGAAACCAGCCCCUAGGGUUGGUUACCCCCUUAGCAGGGGUGAGGGGGCACCAUUCCACCAGCAAGGGUCUUCAAUAAAGAGAAGGCAAACUGGGUGUCAGCAUCCACCACUCCGGUGUGACCAGACACCUCAUGCUGCUGCCUUCCAUAACGGAUGAGGCUCUCAAUCUAGGAGCCAAAAUAAACCCUUGCCCCUUCGGUUGUUUCUUAUCAGGUAUUGACUCACACAGGUGGGCUUCAGCUUAGUCAGUCUGAGCAGAAAUUGCAAACUCCCCAGUCACUGUCUCCUGGAUUCAGGAGUUGGCACUUCUCGUAAGGAGAAGUGAUCCUCCGGAUGCUAAACCAUCAAAAGAAAACCACGUUUGGAGCAGGCAUCUUGUGUGGACAUCUGGAUACAGAGACCAAGAGAGCCUUUGGGGUCCUACUGCGCCUCUCAUGGAACAGGAGUAAAUGUGGCUUGGAGACACUGGUUCUGGGGACCCCCUAGCUCCAAUUGGAUCCAGACUGGGCAUCUCCAGAACUCUCCACAGCCUCAGACAGCCAGCUCAAGGGACACGAAGAACACGGUGCCACACAGCUUCCCAGGCCUCCAUUUAUUUGAGUUGGUAUGAACUCUGCCUCUGCUUGGUUGAUCACGCAUGCCCUGUCCUUCUGUAGGAGGGCAGAGCGCAGAGAAGAGGGCCCUGCAAGAGCAGAAGAGGGCAGUGGUCUCAGCGCCCUGCUCGUGUCUCUGUUCAUCCAUCCUGACAACAGCAGAUAGAACAGUGCUCAGGCCCCACUGUGCCCCGACCUUGCUUCACAACCAUUCCCCCACCUCCUAGUGAUUCCAAUGUCUCUUCUGCUCAUCCAGAGUCCAUAGGUGCUGUUCUAGGGCAGCCUGGGCCCUGUGUUCACAGACCAGGCCGUAGAUGCAGUCAGAGCAAAGCCAGAGGUUAACAGAUCUAGAACAAUACAACGGGCACUCUGCUGGGGACCUAAACAGACAGAAUUAUGGGCCUGAGCGGCAGAACGCUGAUCCCUGUAACUUAGAUCAGAAUUCAGAGUUUAGAAAAUGGUCAGGAGAAAAGUGACCUCACGCAAGCCUGGUCUCCCUGGUUCAUUUCAAGCUUACACUAGGGGCAUCAAGCACAUCCGGGUGCUGAUAGCAGUCUUUACAAAAGACUCCACGCUGCACUCCGACGAUUCUGUCUCCUUUACUUUGCUGGGAGACCAUCUGUUGAACACAGACCAGGCAGGUCAGUGGCUACCGUGGAAUGAAGACUCAGAAAGACUGCAUAGGGCCAAACUACAGCCAUGCACACACUUAAAGUUGGCAUGAGCCUUUGGUGAACAGAGCCACUGUGUUACUGGAGGCUCUCCUCAUGAUCACCAGGUUCCUGUUCCUAUGUCCUCUUUGUGAGACAUUAUUGCGGGCUCAUUCUACAGUCUGAUUGCAGUCCACCUGUAUCAGCAAAUGACAGGUACUUAUACAACCUGCCCAUCUCUUCCUCCUAACUCAACUCCCUGAACUACAAGCAACAACACACACAUUCUACUAGUUACCUAGAGAGUAUGUUAACAGCCAGAUUAUAUGAGAUAAAGAAGAAAGAUACAGGAAAGAUAAGAAAAGGCAGGUGAUAAAGAGAGGAGAUAGAUGGGUGAUAGAUACAGAGGUGUAUCUCUCUCCUGCCUGUGGAUGAGGAAGCCUGUCUGCUUCCUACCAUGAUGAUAAUGCUAACCCUUUGAACCUGGGAGCAGGCCCUCAAUUAAACGCUUCCUUUUAUGA